rnacentral:rRNA from 1 species
AUGUAUGUUCAUGCCUCCCGGGGAGCAUCAGGCGAUGAUGGUGCAGAUAUGCCUGCAGUGGUCAGGGCCGAUGUUUGGGCCCGUGCAAACAUUCCAUCGGUAAAACAAGAAGAUGUUGAUGUGGUUGUGCACAGCGUGGAGCCGAUAGAUCACGUGCAUCUAGAUGGUCUGCUCGGAAACUUGCAGAGUUUUGCAGUUGAGAUGGAGGUAGCAUCCCGUGCACUUGCUUUGAAUGUCAGUGUGGGUUUUGUUCACCAGGUUAUUGACAUCUCUGACGAUGAAAGCAACGAUGAAGUUGGAUAUGGAAGAAUGGUCUGA